rnacentral:rRNA from 1 species
GCGAAAACUUUACAAUGCUGGCAACAGCGAUAAGGGAACCUCGAGUGCCAGGUUACAAAUCUGGCUGUCGAGAUGCCUAAAAAGCAUUUCAUAGCAAGCGCCGGGCAAGACCGGUGCCAGCCGCCGCCGUAACACCGGCGGCUCGAGUGGUAACCGUUAUUAUUGGGUCUAAAGGGUCUGUAGCCGGCCGGAUAAGUCUCUUGAGAAAUCUGGCAGCUUAACUGUCAGGCUUUCAGGAGAUACUGUCUGGCUCGAGGCCGGGAGAGGUGAGAGGUACUUCAGGGGUAGGGGUGAAAUCUUGUAAUCCUUGAAGGACCACCAGUGGCGAAGGCGUCUCACCAGAACGGACCUGACGGCAAGUAACGAAAGCUAGGGGCACGAACC